rfam:Triticum urartu cultivar G1812 contig646908, whole genome shotgun sequence.
ACAGUACUCCCUCUGUCGAAAAAACUUGUCUCAGGCUUGUCUCUCAAAUGGAUGUAUCUAGCACUAACUUUGUGCUAGAUAUACAUCCAUUUGAGGGACAAGUUUUUCCAGACAGAGGGAGUACAAU